UCCCUGGUUGAUCCUGCCAGUAGUCAUAUGCUUGUCUCAAAGAUUAAGCCAUGCAUGUCUCAGUGCAAGCCGCAUUAAGGUGAAACCGCGAAAGGCUCAUUAAAUCAGUUGUGGUUCCUUAGAUCGUACCCAAGUUACUUGGAUAACUGUGGUAAUUCUAGAGCUAAUACAUGCCGACAGAGUUCCGACCGUCGCGGCGCCCUCGGGCGUCGCUCGCGGGAGGAACGCUUUUAUUAGAUCAAAACCGGCCCGUCGCGGCGCGCUUCGUGCGCGUCCCGAUCGCGGCCCGCGCAAAGACCUGGUGACUCUGAAUAACUUCGAGCUGAUCGCACGGUCUCCGUACCGGCGACGCAUCUUUCAAAUGUCUGCCUUAUCAACUGUCGAUGGUAGGUUCCAUGCCUACCAUGGUGGUAACGGGUAACGGGGAAUCAGGGUUCGAUUCCGGAGAGGGAGCCUGAGAAACGGCUACCACAUCCAAGGAAGGCAGCAGGCGCGCAAAUUACCCACUCCCGGAACGGGGAGGUAGUGACGAAAAAUAACGAUACGGGACUCAUCCGAGGCCCCGUAAUCGGAAUGAGAACACUUUAAAACCUUUAAACGAGGAUCAAUUGGAGGGCAAGUCUGGUGCCAGCAGCCGCGGUAAUUCCAGCUCCAAUAGCGUAUAUUAAAGUUGUUGCGGUUAAAAAGCUCGUAGUCGGAUCUGUGUCUGGACGGUGCCGGACCACCCUGGCGGUCCGUCGUGUCGCGGCCGGCCGUGUCGCGGGACCACGUGUCCCGUCGGCGCGGUCGCCGUCGCGCUCGUCAGCCGUCUCGGGGUGUUAGUUACCGGCACGUCGGCCGGACGUAUUGUCGGCAGGCGGACACGUGUCUCGUGCUUCCGGCGCGCCGCGCGGCCACGCGUCGCGCGGCCGUCGGUGUUCGACGACGGCGGCCGCCUACUCCAAUCUUGCUGCGCGGUGCUCUUCACCGAGUGCCCGUCGGCGGGCCGACACGUUUACUUUGAACAAAUUAGAGUGCUCAAAGCACGCUCGAAUCUGGCGGGGCGGCUUCACGGGCCGUCUCGUCAAAAGGCCCUGAAUACUGGUCGCAUGGAAUAAUGGAACAAGACCUCGGUCCCGCGCAUCUCCGCCCCUUCGCGGGCGCGCGAAAUCGCCCCUCCGGGGCGUUUCCGUGCGCGGGCCGCCCGGGCCGCGGGCGCCAGUCGCCCGCGCGUCCCGCCGGGCCGGUUUUCGGGACCGGAGGUAAUGAUCAACAGAGACGGGCGGGGGCAUUCGUACCGAGACGU
rfam:Acyrthosiphon pisum strain LSR1 Contig4870, whole genome shotgun sequence.